UCGGAGUUGGUGCAGUGGUAGCACGGCGGUCUCCAAAACCGCAGACCGGGGUUCGAUUCCCCGACGCCGGGC
rnacentral:tRNA from 1 species